ACUGGCUGGGGUAACGCCCAGCUGUAACCAAGCGGAGUCACUAAGGGUGUAGGAUAGAUGAAAAGAUGCACUACGACGACAGUCCCCUACCAAACAUGACAUAGCUGCCCAUCGCAAGGCUGUAGUCUCUAGAGGUGUACAGAUGGAGAUCAGUAUAUCUUGUGAGAUAAUGAAGCUCGUACCGCCGGAGGCUGGGAACAGAACACGGACAAGAGCUCGCUGUGGUACAGUGCGAGGAUAACAGCAGUGUCACGGGGAGACUGCACCGCGUGGGACGGACAUCAAGACUACACCUCCU
rnacentral:SRP_RNA from 1 species